CAUGGAAGGAAGCAUUGUAAUAUGUACAAAAGUUGAUUUGGGUCUUUAGGUUUGAUCUCUCUGAUAACUUUCUGUUUUAAUUUGGGGGUAUGGUUAUGCAGCAAAAAC